UCCCUGGUGGUCUAGUGGUUAGGAUUCGGCGCUCUCACCGCCGCGGCCCGGGUUCGAUUCCCGGUCAGGGAAUGGCUUGGGGCGCCUGGGUGGCUCAGUGGGUU